UCCGGUUGAUCCUGCCGGAGGCCACUGCUAUCGGAGUUCGACUAAGCCAUGCGAGUCUUGGUAGGCUUUGCCUACCGGCGGACGGCUCAGUAACACGUGGACAACCUACCCUCGGGAGGGGGAUAACCCCGGGAAACUGGGAAUAAACCCCCAUAGGUCAAGAAGGCUGGAAGGCAUCAUGACCGAAAUUCCGAAAGGAGCCCGAGGAUGGGUCUGCGGCCUAUCAGGUCGUAGUGGGGGUAAUGGCCCCACUAGCCUACGACGGGUACGGGCCCUGAGAGGGGGAGCCCGGAGAUGGACUCUGAGACACGAGUCCAGGCCCUACGGGGCGCAGCAGGCGCGAAAACUCCGCAAUGCUCGAAAGAGCGACGGGGGAACUCCGAGUGCCUACGCUUUGCGUAGGCUUUUCUCGAGCCUAAAAAGCUCGGGGAAUAAGGGCUGGGUAAGACGGGUGCCAGCCGCCGCGGUAAUACCCGCAGCUCGAGUGGUGGCCGCUUUUAUUGGGCCUAAAGCGUCCGUAGCCGGUCUGGUAAAUGCCUGGGUAAAUCGUCUGGCUUAACCAGACGGCUCCCAGGUAGACUGCCAGACUUGGGACCGGAGGAGGGAGAGGGUACUCCAGGGGUAGGGGUGAAAAUCCUUUCCGUUAACGCUUUGCGUGAAGCGGAAAGGCUAUCACAAUCCUGUAAUCCCUGGAGGACCACCGGUGGCGAAGGCGCUCUCCUAGGACGGGUCCGACGGUGAGGGACGAAAGCCAGGGGAGCAAACCGGAUUAGAUACCCGGGUAGUCCUGGCCGUAAACGAUGUGGACUGGAUAUUGGGAUGGCUACGAGCUGUCCCAGUGUCGUAGGGAAGCCGUUAAGUCCACCGCCUGGGGAGUACGGUCGCAAGGCUGAAACUUAAAGGAAUUGGCGGGGGAGCACCGCAACGGGAGGAGCGUGCGGUUUAAUUGGAUUCAACGCCCGGG
rnacentral:rRNA from 1 species